UGAAACUGAACAGAUUCUCUAAGUCCCUC
rnacentral:piRNA from 1 species